AACCUCUGGCACCCUCUGAUGUCCAUUCGAGAAAAAUACUCGCCACUGUCCAGGUGAAGGGAAAUCUUUAUGCGAAGCAGUGGGUGCCUCCGCACUGCAGAAUUAAUGCACUUUGGCCCCACUUUAAUUGCCCGGCAAAUUGAGAGUACAGUUAUAAUGUAUAGAAAAACCACAAACAAAGUUAAAAACUUGGCCUGAUACUAAGUGUCCUUUGCCCGGAAGCUGACCACUUGGGGUGAGUGCCUCUGGUGUUGCUAUAAGAAGGCCCUCCUCCCUGGUGCACGUGGCCGGGCUCGGGCUGCAUUGCAGUCGGUGGUCUGUGGUUUGCUCUUCUCCACACUCGCAUGUCGCGGACUCCACUUUGAGGCCCCACUUCCUAAGGUUGGCUCUGCAUCUCGUGGUGCCAGAGCGCAGCCUGUUCAGCCCCUUCCAAGUCGCCCCGUCUUCUGUCCGACCAGGGUGGAGAGUCUCAUCCGGUCCCAGCUAUGGCUUGAGAUUCCAGGUUUUAGCCUGCCACUUUUAGACUCUCGCUUGCUCAGGUGUUCCUAUUAACAACAUUGAAAAACAGGGGCCAGCUUUUAAGUUCUUUAAGUCUUUUCUAUCUAUUCUCUCUUCUAUUCUUGGGAACGUGGAACUUACGGACACUGUUGGACAGCUGAGUCUUCAAACUGCAGAAGCUGUUCAUUGCGAGCUUAGCAACAACGGCAGAAAUGCAUGCAGGAAGGCAAUCAAAGGUUGGCAGCGACAAGGACGGAGCUCACUAUGAGGAAAGCUGAGCCCAUGUUAUGGGCAGGCCUAGAAUUUCCAGUGCCAAAAAUACAAGCGAAACAGCAGCAGAACAUUGCAGAGCAAGCUUGAAAUCUGAAAAAAAAAGUUGUUGCUUCUGAAGUGGUGGCUUGAAAUUAUAAUACAAAUUAUUUUAUAUGUAACUAGCUGUGCCCGGCCACGCGUUGCUGUGGCAAA
rnacentral:lncRNA from 11 species